CGGCGAGUUACGAUUACAUGCAAGGUUAAGCCCGAGAAGGCGGAGCCGCAGCGAAAGCGAGUCUGAACAGGGCGAAUUAGUAUGUGGUUGUAGACCCGAAACCAGGUGAUCUACCCAUGUCCAGGGUGAAGUCCAGGUAACACUGGAUGGAGGCCCGAACCCACGCACGUUGAAAAGUGCGGGGAUGAGGUGUGGGUAGCGGAGAAAUUCCAAUCGAACCUGGAGAUAGCUGGUUCUCUCCGAAAUAGCUUUAGGGCUAGCCUCAUGUUGUAAGAGUCUUGGAGGUAGAGCACUGUUUGGACUAGGGGCCCUCAUCGGGUUACCGAAUUCAGACAAACUCCGAAUGCCAAAGACUUAUCCAUGGGAGUCAGACUGCGAGUGAUAAGAUCCGUAGUCGAAAGGGAAACAGCCCAGACCACCAGCUAAGGUCCCAAAGUAUACGUUAAGUGGAAAAGGAUGUGGAGUUGCUUAGACAACCAGGAUGUUGGCUUAGAAGCAGCCACCAUUUAAAGAGUGCGUAAUAGCUCACUGGUCGAGUGACUCUGCGCCGAAAAUGUACCGGGGCUAAACGUAUCACCGAAGCUGUGGGUGGACACCGUAGGUGUCCGCGGUAGGAGAGCGUUCUAAGGGCGUUGAAGCGGGACCGGGAGGACUCGUGGAGCGCUUAGAAGUGAGAAUGCCGGUAUGAGUAGCGAAAGAUGGGUGAGAAUCCCAUCCACCGAAUGCCUAAGGUUUCCUGAGGAAGGCUCGUCCGCUCAGGGUUAGUCGGGACCUAAGCCGAGGCCGAAAGGCGUAGGCGAUGGACAACAGGUUGAUAUUCCUGUACCACCUCUUUUCCGUUUGAGCAAUGGGGGGACGCAGGAGGAUAGGGCAAGCGCACUGCUGGUUAUGUGCGUCCAAGCAGUUAGGCUGGUCACGAGGCAAAUCCCGUGAUCGCAAGGCUGAGCUGUGAUGGCGAGGGAAAUAUAGUACCGAAGUUCCUGAUUCCACACUGCCAAGAA
rnacentral:rRNA from 1 species